GGUUUUGUUUCUCAUGCAAUGCCCUAAUUUCAGAAACCUGUAUAAAUAACCCAACGGUCUUCUUCCAUCCUAUGCUCUGUUGGCGGCUGAAAUUAGGGUUGUGAACUGCUCCAAAAUUCUAACUUUAAAGCUUGCAGGGUUCUGCAGUGCAUGCAUCUGAACUUAUCCUCUGGUAUUAGUGUCGGUUUGUCAAAGCAGGUUUCUUACAAAUGCCCUGAGGAGCUGUUGCAUUCUGGAAACCGAGCACCUCAUUCUCAUUGUGAAGAAAUCAAAUCAAAGAGAGCACUGGUUUUGUUCACAACUUUGGGAUUUUUGGGGUCAUUCACGGGAAAUUGGUUGCGUGUAAUUUUUUAUUUUAUUGUAAUUAUGCUCGUACUCAGCUGAGUUGUUUUGACUCUAUUAGUGAUGGAUAUGAAAUGGAAGUGUUUUAUUUUAAACUUGUCAAUAUUUUCUCAUUUCUCAACGUUAGCAACUUAGAAGCUUCAAAAGUAUUAUGUGGAGUUAGAAACAUGGCAAUACCACUCUGAAUUUUGUUGA